CCUGAUCCAGCCAUGCCGCGUGAGUGAAGAAGGCCUUCGGGUUGUAAAGCUCUUUCAGCCGGAAAGAAAACGCACGGGUUAAUAACCUGUGUGGAUGACGGUACCGGAAGAAGAAGCACCGGCUAACUACGUGCCAGCAGCCGCGGUAAUACGUAGGGUGCGAGCGUUAAUCGGAAUUACUGGGCGUAAAGCGUGCGCAGGCGGUUUUGUAAGACAGAUGUGAAAUCCCCGGGCUUAACCUGGGAACUGCAUUUGUAACUGCAAGGCUAGAGUACGGCAGAGGGGGGUGGAAUUCCACGUGUAGCAGUGAAAUGCGUAGAUAUGUGGAGGAACACCGAUGGCGAAGGCAGCCCCCUGGGUCGAUACUGACGCUCAUGCACGAAAGCGUGGGGAGCAAACAGGAUUAGAUACCCUGGUAGUCCACGCCCUAAACGAUGUCAACUAGGUGUUGGGGGAGGAGACU
rnacentral:rRNA from 1 species